GAUGAACGCUGGCGGCGUGCCUAAUACAUGCAAGUCGAGCGAACAGACGAGGAGCUUGCUCCUCUGACGUUAGCGGCGGACGGGUGAGUAACACGUGGAUAACCUACCUAUAAGACUGGGAUAACUUCGGGAAACCGGAGCUAAUACCGGAUAAUAUAUUGAACCGCAUGGUUCAAUAGUGAAAGACAGUUUUGCUGUCACUUAUAGAUGGAUCCGCGCCGCAUUAGCUAGUUGGUAAGGUAACGGCUUACCAAGGCGACGAUGCGUAGCCGACCUGAGAGGGUGAUCGGCCACACUGGAACUGAGACACGGUCCAGACUCCUACGGGAGGCAGCAGUAGGGAAUCUUCCGCAAUGGGCGAAAGCUUGACGGAGCAACGCCGCGUGAGUGAUGAAGGUCUUCGGAUCGUAAAACUCUGUUAUUAGGGAAGAACAAAUGUGUAAGUAACUAUGCACGUCUUGACGGUACCUAAUCAGAAAGCCACGGCUAACUACGUG
rnacentral:rRNA from 1 species